CACCGCGGUUAUACGAGAGGCCCUAGUUGAUGGACACGGCGUAAAGGGUGGUUAAGGUCCAAUAUAAAUAAAGCCAAAAGACCUCUUGGCUGUCAUACGCCCCUGAGCUUCCGAAGCCCACAUACGAAAGUAGCUUUAAUACCAUUCACCUGACCCCACGAAAGCUGAGAAACAAACUGGGAUUAGAUACCCCACUAUGCUCAGCCAUAAACUUAGGCGUUACUUUACAAUAAACGCCCGCCAGGGUACUACGAGCAUUAGCUUAAAACCCAAAGGACUUGGCGGUGCCUUAGACCCCCCUAGAGGAGCCUGUUCUAGAACCGAUAACCCCCGUUAAACCUCACCACUUCUGGCCAUCCCCGCCUAUAUACCGCCGUCGUCAGCUUACCCUGUGAAGGACAAAUAGUAAGCAAAGUGAAUAUAAUCCAAAACGUCAGGUCGAGGUGUAGCGAACGAAGUGGGAAGAAAUGGGCUACAUUUUCUUUAAUAAGAAUAUUACGGACAACACUAUGAAAACUUGGUGCUUGAAGGAGGAUUUAGUAGUAAAAAGGAAAUAGAGUGUCCUUUUGAACCCGGCUCUGAGGCGCGUACACACCGCCCGUCACUCUCCCCGCCAACAGCAAUAAAUGUUAAUAACAUAUAAGCACAAAUAAGGGGAGGCAAGUCGUAACAUGGUAAGUGUACCGGAAGGUGCACUUGGAUCAAAUCAGGACGUGGCUGAG
rnacentral:rRNA from 1 species